CACAAUGGGCGAAAGCCUGAUGCAGCAACGCCGCGUGAGGGACGACGGCCUUCGGGUUGUAAACCUCUUUUAGCAAGGAAGAAGCGAAAGUGACGGUACUUGCAGAAAAAGCGCCGGCUAACUACGUGCCAGCAGCCGCGGUAAUACGUAGGGCGCAAGCGUAAUCCGGAAUUAUUGGGCGUAAAGAGCUCGUAGGCGGUUUGUCGCGUCUGCUGUGAAAUCCCGAGGCUCAACCUCGGGUCUGCAGUGGGUACGGGCAGACUAGAGUGCGGUAGGGGAGAUUGGAAUUCCUGGUGUAGCGGUGGAAUGCGCAGAUAUCAGGAGGAACACCGAUGGCGAAGGCAGAUCUCUGGGCCGUAACUGACGCUGAGGAGCGAAAGGGCGGGGAGCAAACAGGCUUAGAUACCCUGGUAGUCCACCCCGUAAACGUUGGGAACUAGUUGUGGGGUCCAUUCCACGGAUUCCGUGACGCAGCUAACGCAUUAAGUUCCCCGCCUGGGGAGUACGGCCGCAAGGCUA
rnacentral:rRNA from 1 species